GAUGAACGCUGGCGGUAUGCUUAACACAUGCAAGUCGAACGGACUCUUCGGGGUUAGUGGCGGACGGGUGAGUAACGCGUGAGAAUCUGGCUUUGGGUUCGGGACAACCACUGGAAACGGUGGCUAAUACCGGAUGUGCCGAGAGGUAAAAGAGAAAUUGCCUGAAGAUGAGCUCGCGUCUGAUUAGCUAGUUGGUGAGGUAAAGGCUCACCAAGGCAGCGACCAGUAGCUGGUCUGAGAGGAUGACCAGCCACACUGGGACUGAGACACGGCCCAGACUCCUACGGGAGGCAGCAGUGGGGAAUUUUCCGCAAUGGGCGAAAGCCUGACGGAGCAAUACCGCGUGAGGGAAGAAGGCUCUUGGGUUGUAAACCUCUUUUCUUAGGGAAGAACAAAAUGACGGUACCUAAGGAAUCAGCAUCGGCUAACUCCGUG
rnacentral:rRNA from 1 species